AAAAAGUUUUGCUCCAGUCGGGUCUAAACUUUGGGCAGGACAUCAAACUUUAUGACUCACGGGCCGCCUGCUCCGGGGGCGGGGCUUAGCCCUAAUUGGGACAAGAGUCUUUAAAGCCCCUUGGAUACUGCAAGGACCCCUGCUGAGCUGUGGAGCCCACUCAGUAAAACAAUCAAUCAUCGCUCAUUUGCAACACAAAAUACUGAAGUGCGAUGGACAUAAAAUAUAUAUAUAUAAAGAUGCGACUUUCAUGUUCAGAACUGUGCAUAUAGUAUAGAAAAAUGUGUGCGUGGAAAAUUCAGACAAAACAAUCAGAUGUAUUGAUUACUUUAGUUUUAACUUACAUAUUCGUUCAACUUUAUUUAGUUUGAAAUAUUUUCAUGAGUUAAUCAAAAACAUGAUUUCACUCUAUGCUAAGUAAUUUUUAACAAUGCCGAAGCUAUUCAGAACAAAGUGUAUGUGUUAAGUUUAGACCGUAGAUGGUGAGGCAACAUACAUUUUACAACUUGGCAAUUUCGAGAAUAACUCAAAACCACACUUUCUCUCAUUUCCUAUGUUUAAUUGUACUAUUUCUCUCCCCCCUCUCUCUCUCUCUCUCUCUCUCUCUCUUUUAUUAUUUUUUUACAGUGCUCAUGAAAAAGUAGAUCCAUGCAGUUCCCACAAUUGUUAUGCAAAUGAGGCCCCUCUUCCAUUGAGAAAUCAUUUUGUCAAGAUCCAGUCUCUUUGGCUACAGAGGCUGUGUUUCGAGCCCUUUUUCCCAUACAUCCACUGAAUGAAUGAUUAUGAAGCUCUAUUAAAUACCCACAGACACUGUAAAGCCCCGGCCAACAGAUUAAAGAGCUCCGCUCUGCCACUCACAUACAUGCUCACGUUUUCUGAAUCAGACGAGUCUCGAGCUUUAGUUUGUUAUUCAUUUAGACCAAGUUCUUGUUUGUGUUUAAAAUAUGUUUUUGUUGUUGUUGUCAGAUCAUUUUAGAUGAGCAGAACAAGACUGUAGAAAUGCACAGCAUGCAACAGGUGGCCAUUCCCCCACUUUAUUCUGUUUCUGUAUCACUAUGAUAUUUCUGUAUGAUUUCAGAUUUGUCCCCCCCUCCCCUGUUAUUUUCUUAUGUGCUGAUUUAAUAUGUUUCAUGAUUCACUGCCUGUGAACUCUUUCCACGUAUGAGCAGCACGUCACCCUCCACACAUGCUGGUGUAUGGAUGUGACAUUGCGUGCACACAUGCUGCCAGUCAAGACGUCUCCAUUAUUUUGGGGUGGAAGUGGUCGUUUUCACAUCAUUGCGGCGCACUCAGACACAUUAACAGAGGUGGACUGCAGUGUCCCCCGGCAGCCCCGCAGGGACCACCCACCUAGCAGACGUCUCUUCAUCCUCCUCGGCCUCGGUCUGGUCGCGCUUUGAUUGGCUGCUCCGGGGGGAAAUCUGCACAAACGACUCGCUGGGCUCUUAUUUCCCCCCAAUCAAUAUGAACUGCUGGAAUCCUGGGUGGCUACUGUCCCUGUGAAAAAAGAAAAAACAAAACAAAACCCAACGCAUUGGUCUGGUGUUAUUAUCGGACACAGUGACGCACAGUGUUGCUACAGGCAGAUGGGAGCUCUGCAGCGCCGCCUGCAGUGUUUAACGGGUACUACACGGUAAAAGAAACCCAAGCAAAAUACACACACACACACACACACAGUAACUUCAUGUGUAUAAAUAUUUAAAUAUAUUUUAAUAUCUUGCUUUUUCUUUGACCAAUUUGACACCCCUACUCUGGUAAACAUGUUUUGUAUAUUGAAGUAUGCUGUGUGUGUAUAUAUUGUUUUACGACCAAGUUAAAACACACCUAACAGUUUGUGUUCAAAUGUAUUGUUGACCUAUCCAGUCAUCUUUAAAACAAAACAACAACAGAAAAAACAUUGCUCCAAGUAAUUAUUCAGUCGUUUCAGACCAGACAGCAAUUUACUGCAGGUUAAAUGAACUGUUACAAAAACACUACACACAGUACUUGCGUGAUUCGGCCUCAAUACAGAGCAAAAUAGUACAAGCUCGAACUUGCCGCUGUGGAAACGUCUUUGCUUAUUUCCAGCACUCUUGCCCUUUCUUGUCGAGUUUCUGGGUGUUGUGCUGGUGAAAGGGCUUAAAUGUCAUUUAGCUCACCAUUGUGUAGUAUAUAAUGACUCUGAACAUUAAUGACAGUGCGGUUACAGGGAGUAGAUUUUCCCCGCAGGAGAACACAGAGUAAAAGUUUGGUAAAUGCUGUGCAGACACUGUAGUUCGCAUACACGAGCAAAGGACUGUAGUUGGUGUUACUGGUUUCUUUAUUUGUGCUUGUGCAUUCAGAUUUAUUCACUCACCGAUUAAAGAGGAGGAACAAAUGACA